rnacentral:rRNA from 1 species
ACGACGGGUAGCCGGCCUGANAGGGCGACCGGCCACACUGGGAAUGAGACACGGCCCAGACUCCUACGGGAGGCAGCAGUGGGGAAUAUUGCACAAUGGGCGAAAGCCUGAUGCAGCGACGCCGCGUGAGGGAUGACGGCCUUCGGGUUGUAAACCUCUUUCAGCAGGGAAGAAGCGCAAGUGACGGUACCUGCAGAAGAAGCACCGGCUAACUACGUGCCAGCAGCCGCGGUAAUACGUAGGGUGCGAGCGUUGUCCGGAAUUAUUGGGCGUAAAGAGCUCGUAGGCGGCCUGUCGCGUCGGAUGUGCAAAGCCCCGGGCUUAACCCCGGGUCUGCAUUCGAUACGGGCCGGCUAGAGUGUGGUCGGGGAGAUCGGAAUUCCUGGUGUAGCGGUGAAAUGCGCAGAUAUCAGGAGGAACACCGGUGGCGAAGGCGGCUCUCUGGGCCAUUCCUGACGCUGAGGAGCGCAAGCGUGGGGCGCGAACAGGAUUAGAUACCCUGGUACUCCACGCCGUAAACGUUGGGAACUAGGUGUUCGUCCACAUUCCACGUGGUCGGUGCUCGCAGAUACCGCAUUCAGUUCCCCGCCUGGGGACUACGCCCCCAAGGCUAAAACUCAAAGGAAUUGACGGGGCCCCGCACAAGCAGCGGAGCAUGUGGCUUAAUUCGACGCAACGCGAAGAACCUUACCAAGGCUUGACAUAUGCCG